CCUCUGCCACGCUUCCAUUGACAUUAUUAAAACGGGCGGCUGUAAAAUCUCCGCCCUCGAUAUUGAACGCGAGAUUCUUGACCUUCCCUACGUUUCCCAGGUGAUGGUUUGUCGGUGUUGGCUGAUGACGAAUCCGGUCAGCGCGUCGCUGCUGUGGUGGGUUUAAAAAUUGAGCAGACCACUUACAAGUGUCCGGGAAACGGCUGGUUGGGAAGUAUUUUACACUGGAUGAUCUACGCGCUGACCGACGGAGAAAGUUGGCUGGCUCUAAAAUCCCCACUCUAUUGAGAGUAGUUGUGCAUGAAAUUCUGAAAACUGGCAUACGGAAGGUGGUGAAGGGGUUGCUAGGCCCUAAGUUUUUUCCAGUGGAUUAUGAACAGCAUCCGGACGUACAGAUAUGUUCACUAGUUAAGCAGAGUGUCCUAGACCCA
rnacentral:sRNA from 1 species